GCCCAGUGUAAAGACCUAGAGGGAUGCCUCACAGAGACCACAAGGCCCUAACCCACUGCCAACAGGAGAAGAUAGGGCCCCAAACCCAACCACUGACUCAACUGAUACCUGACAAGCAGGCCAGCAUCCUCUCCCGUCCCUCCUUCCAAAAUGUCCACCUACCCUUGCCCUGGGAACCAAACCGACCUAUAAGAGAGAAGGACCUGCUCAGGGGCUGCAGACACUCAUGUCUCCUUAACUAUUGUGAUAAAUCUGCUCAACCAUAUGGCCUACUUCUCUCUUUUGCCCAGAGCAACUGCUGGGACCUUUGCCUCCGCUCCUAAAGGAGCCUUGCCUGCCCUCAGAAGCCUCACAGAGGACCUGAGUGACACUGCCUCAGAGCAGUCUGAGAAGAAUUUUGGGCAGCACCAGCUUUGGAGGAAACGAUCUCAGUUCUGGGAGGGGUUGCUGAGGAAGCCUACCCUCACUGUACCUUUCAAGAGCUGCCUUGUGUCCCACACAGAUGGAUCCAGUCUACUCACUGCUCACUAACCUACUCAUGGAUUCAUCCGUCCACUCGAGGAUGCAUUCGUCCAUCAAAAGAGCAUUCAGCCAUCCCUUCUCACUACCGUGUGCCAGGGGCUGACAAGCUCCCGUGAGCAGUGCAGCAUCUCCAGACCUAGAAGGAAUAUGAUUUUGCUCCUGAAAGGUGAGACAAGGUUGGGAUACCAGAGAAAAGGCUAAGGCUGAGCCAUGGAGGCUAUGAGAGGUGUGAGGAGUAUUUGUGAGGAAGCUCUAUCAGGUUACGUCUCCAAAUCCCUUCUCGAUAAAAUGUGUUCUGCUAGAGAAAUGACUGUACGUGUGUGUUCCUCCCUCAGACCAUGCUAAGGCUGUUACCCACCCCAGAGCAGCAGCUACUGUGCAUCCCCUUCAGCUGCACAGACCAGAACGACUCCUCGGGCCACAGCCCCGCCGCAUCAGCAGCCCCGAGAGUAAUGAAGCCCUGAGCCUAAAAAUCGCUUUCUCUCUUCAUUCCCGAUAGAGAGAAUCUUCAAGACGCUCUCAUUUUACAAAUAAGGAAUGCUAAGUGAAGCCUCUUCAGGUGAAAUCACUGUUCUAGCUCACACAGCCUGGAAGAGACAGAGCUGUGUCUGGAGCCCAUGCACACUGCCUGUAAGACGCCAGCCUCACUGCAGCAUCAUUAAAUAUAGGUUGGCGGCUGUGAUACACAAUAAAACACGUGAGAUGCUACUUAGAGGUCAGAUAAGCAAAAAUCAUUGCCAUGUAAAAGCCAGCUCGGGAUAAGAUUCCUUUCAUAUUUUUAAUGUUUAUUUAAGGGCUUCAAACCAGAAUACACUCAUACGGGGUGGGAGAGAGAGAGAGAGACAGAGACAGAGACAGAGACAGACAUAGAGACAGACCGACUGACAGACAGAUAGGUGGACAGGUUUACAGACAGACAGAUGGACAGAUGGACAGACAUAUGGAUGGACAGACGAGUCCAAAAAAGGCAAUGCAAAACCCUUGGGAGUGCCAUAUAGAUAAAACUAUGUUUUGCAGGGACAGCACCUUUCCCAUGGAGCUCAGUACUUUCUAGUCAGUCGGGUCAGCAGUCUGUGGAAUAGUCCUGUACACGCUCAGUGUACGUCUUCUCUCCUACCUCUGUGGAAACGUCCUCACACAUAGGCAAGGUGAGUAAAUCACAGCUAAGGUGACAAUGGACAUCAACCGUCACCACUUCCCAUGUAAGGGCCCCACUUACAGGCCCCACCUCUCAGGAGUGCCACUCUCGGAAUCAUGUGGACAUUUGGAGGACACGUGGGAUCCAAAGUAUCUACAGUCAGGACCAUGCCUAUUGCCAAUGCUGGAUUCCGGGGCUCACCACGCCUACCGGUUGUCUCUCUCUUCUUUUUCUUUCUUUUUUGUUAGCUAUCCACAUUCCACACACAAGAGCAUUCCUUUUUCUGCAUGUUCGCCUCCUGCCCUGGCUAAUUUUAUGUCUACUUAACACAGCCUAAGGUCAUCUGAAAGGUGAACCCAAAUUCAGAAAAUGCCUUCAUAAGAUUAGGCUAUAGACAAGCCUGUAGCACUUUCUAAUUAGUGAUUGACAUG